UACGAAGGGGGCGAGCGUUGUUCGGAUUUACUGGGCGUAAAGGGCGCGCAGGCGGUCUUGAAAGUCAGGCGUGAAAGCCCCGGGCUUAACCUGGGAAUUGCGCUUGAUACUCUGAGACUGGAGUACGGGAGAGGAGAGUGGAAUUCCCAGUGUAGAGGUGAAAUUCGUAGAUAUCGGGAGGAACACCUGUGGCGAAAGCGGCUCACUGGACCAUUACUGACGCUGAUGCACGAAAGCUAGGGGAGCAAACAGG
rnacentral:rRNA from 1 species